rnacentral:rRNA from 1 species
AAGACCUUGCGCUUUUGGAGCGGCCGAUGCCUGAUUAGCUUGUUGGUAAGGUAAAAGCUUACCAAGGCUUCGAUCAGUAGCUGGUCUGAGAGGACGACCAGCCACACUGGGACUGAGACACGGCCCAGACUCCUACGGGAGGCAGCAGUGGGGAAUUUUGGACAAUGGGGGCAACCCUGAUCCAGCCAUGCCGCGUGAGUGAAGAAGGCCUUCGGGUUGUAAAGCUCUUUCAGCCGGAACGAAACGGUUACGGAUAACACCCGUGACUACUGACGGUACCGGAAGAAGAAGCACCGGCUAACUACGUGCCAGCAGCCGCGGUAAUACGUAGGGUGCGAGCGUUAAUCGGAAUUACUGGGCGUAAAGCGUGCGCAGGCGGUUUUGUAAGUCAGAUGUGAAAUCCCCGGGCUUAACCUGGGAACU